AUUGUUUCGGGAAGCGACGAUUCUUGGCAAAAACUGCAAUGAGCAAGCCCGUUUGUUACUGGAAGUAUUUUACAGAAGAAGAGGAAAGAGGACUGCCUUCGAUGAGUCGCUGCAUGCACAGACGCCACUGCUCUCGGGGUCUGUGUGCAGCGCAAAGCCUUGCACCACGUGGUCCACAUCCGCCGUUGAUGCGCGACGACUAAGUGACAAGCCCACUCGACUACCAAGUCAUGCAUAACUCGCUGUCUGCUGUACUGCUUUGAUGUCCCACGUGAUAUUCAAGAUGGCUGCCCUUCGAGUCAACGCAUGCCUUCACUACUCCGUUUCUUCUUUCGCUAAUCUUGCAAGGUGAGUGGUUUUCAAGUAUAUUACAAAGAGUGCACGGCGUAUUCUUUUACCCGAUACUUUCCGCUAAUUCAUGACAUAUAGAACAAGGCUGCAAUGCCCGCAAGGAAAAUUCAGGCGGA